AAUCUAGUGUCUGCGCACGGCUGCCGGCUAACUCGGGAAUGAUCCGUGAUUGUAUUAAUAUCACAACACGCCUCGGAAUGGCCGAUAAAUCGAAGAACUCAAGUAAGGAAUAUCAAUUCGCAAGGUGGCCUCUACUGAACGUGGCACGACAUUGAAAAGAAUGCAAAUGUGUUAUGAGCACCGGCCCAGUUCUACGGUGUCACGAAGCAUCAACGUGUCCGUCUAUGGCUUACAGAUUGCCCUAUAAAUGAACGGUAGGCCCAGAAAACGCAUGAUACGAACUAUAGGCCGUACGUGAUGCGCAGACAAGUAGAAUUUUGUGAAGAAAAGUCUCUGUACGCGAUAAUAAAAAUUCAAAAAAUCAAUUCAAACAUUCCAAAUGUGCCAACUGCUUGCUUGGGCCAGCAGACAAAAUUGGAAAUAUAACAAGUACGUGAGCCACAUGCUAACAUACGGAAUAUAUAAACUUAAUCGAAACUUUUACAAGAUGAUGAGUGAAAAUUCAAAAAGCAAGCAUUUACUUAUGAUUAAGUUAGCAAUGUGAAAAAAAGCUAGGAAUAUAUGAGAUAGAAUAAAAGUUUAAAAUCA